rnacentral:rRNA from 1 species
UACGUAGGAGACGAGCGUUGUCCGGAGUUACUGGGCGUAAAGGGUGCGCAGGUGGCGGCGCGCGUGGGGGGUGAAAUCGCCCGGCUUAACUGGGCGGGGGCCUUCCAGACGGCGUGGCUUGAGCAGCGGAGGGGGACGUGGAAUUCCGGGUGGAGCGGUGAAAUGCGUAGAGAUCCGGAGGAACAUCGACGGCGCAGGCAGCGGCCUGGCCGCUUGCUGACACUGAGGCACGAAAGCUGGGGGAGCAAACAGG